rnacentral:lncRNA from 1 species
ACCUUCCGCUUCCCAGCUCCCUGAGGCUGGGCGCUCAGCAGACGACGUAGUUCUUGUGCUCUUCCCGCCUCGCCUUUCUUUUCUUGGUUUCAAUCCUGGUGUUGCAAGCCAAUUCCCGGGUCUUGUUAGGCGGGAAACACAGACUGCAUUACCCAUGUUUGAAACUGGAUUUGCGCGUUUGGGAAGCAAGAAUGGGGUUACUCUGCUGGAAAAGCUUGACAUUGCAAAUGAGGGAUUUUUACCCUACGGUUCCACAAGUUCCCACUAAGUAUCUGGUACGCGGAAGAGAGGGACAAGGAAGCACAGAGGCUCAGAACAGUUCGUUGUUCACCUCGUCUUUCUACCACAUAAUUCUGCCUCUAGAAAUACAGGAGAAAGAGUAGCCACGCAAAGCUUCUAGGAACUCCUGGGAGAAGCAUUCAUAAACUCUUAUUGCUGCCAGUUCAUCUUGGGGCCUUUCGGUGUGAAGAAAUGGAUCCUUAUCAAAUACUUUUGUGAAAGAACAUUUACAUCCUGCUUUAUUCCAGAAGAAAAGAUUUAAGUUUGAUUGGACCCUUGAGAAGUUAUCCAGAUGAAGAAACUGAAUCCCUCCUCUGGACUCAAAAAUCUGUGGGCUGGACUGGACCAUGAACCUCAUGCGUGCUUGGAGCAGAGCACAUAACACACGGUAUUCCCAUUGUCUGAAUCCCCUAGAGUGGGCUUCUUGACCGCAGAGACUGUAUUCUCUAUCUUUGAAUUCCUCACUUCUAGCACCGUGUCUGAUAGUAAGUGCCCAGCGAUGCUUGUUAAAGCAAUCAGAAUGAACAACAGAGGGGGAAAACAUUCGGAGGAAAAAUCCGUCUCUGAUCUCCCAGGACACGGCAAGGCAAAAUUAUCCAAAAAACCAAAAGUGAGCUUGACCUCAGUGUGUCUUUUUUAGGUGAACAAGUCACAGGCAAGCAUUUGCUGGACUGCCCAGAGCUAUCACUCCCAUCAUUGCUAUUAACAACCAUGGCUUGCUUAUUUUGUCUUGUUGGGGUAUUAGAAUGAGUUCACUCAUAAUUAAGUUCCCUGCUUUAAUUACAGCAGAAAUAAAAUUUAGGCAGCCCAGUGGCUUUGAUUCAGGUAUUUCAGGAAUGUUUUACUUUUGAAGUCUGAAGUAUUAAGGGUAGAUAAAAAACAGCAUCUUGUAUGAAGUUAAAAGUACAGGUUAUCUCAUGGAAAAAGAUGAAAUAUAAUUCUGUGUACCUUAUGAUUAUAAGGGUUCAUCAGAUUUAGUAACUGUUGGAAAACUAUCAUAUCUUUUUUGUAUCUUAAUUAUUUGGUUCUUUUCUCUGAAAAGACUAAAAAUACUGUGAACCCUUAAUUUCAAUGGCACAAAGAAUUGUGCGUUGCAUAUUUAUAAGUCAGCCACAGGACAAAGGGAAGCAAUAAAGAAUUAAACGUUACAUUCUCUUAAGAAAUAUUUUCUUUCAGUAUUACAUAAAUACCUUUGUGCUUUUCCAUUUUCUUUUUUUGAAACCAAGUAACCCUUUGACAUUUCAAAGUGAAAUAACUACACACACAAUUUUUAUACAGAGGCUAGGAUGACUUUUUUUUUUUUUUAGAACUAAGUGUAAUUAACCACACAUGGCAUAUUAUUCAUUGUCCUAUGACCUUUUUAAUUUAAUUUCAUAUUCUGAAAAUGUUUGCUUCUAAAUUUAGGCAGGAAAAUGAGAGAAUGUCAUGGCUGCUUUGCUGGCUGUACUUUAUAGAGGAUUAUACCUAGAUGAAUUUUCAAAUGUGGAUGUUUAAAAAAUGUAUGUACUUUGGCAUAUGUAAGGUUUAAUAGAGCCUAGUAAUUUGGAUUUACAAGAGACUACCCAUCCAAAAUCCUGAGAAAUUCUAAGUAGCUGUAAGGGGGAGGGCCUGGUGGAGUCAAUGAGAGGAAGCAGGCGGAGCAAGGGCACAAAUGGAGACCCACAUACCCUAUGUCCACAUACUUCGUAAUUAUAAAAAAGAAAAAAAAGCUCAAAACUGUUAAACAAGAUGGUCCUGUCCUUCUAACUUGACAAAUCAAUGACAAAAUCCCAAAACAUUGAUAAAGUUAUAGUCUCAAUAUGAUGAAAGGUGGCAAAAUAUCCAAGACGGCUGAAUUGUUGCACAUGUUUGGACGAGCUAGUGACAUUUUGUAUGAGAAACAAAAGAUAUAAAUAAUUCAUAAAUCAUUCAUUUAUUCCACAUUUUCUUAAUUUCAGCAGAUCACUGAAAUCUUUAUGGUCUUAAAAGAUUUUCAUGUAAUUUGUAUUCAACUGACAGUAUUAAAGUAAAAAUAAAGUAUAAUUGUAU